UCGCAGCGACUGCGGACGACAUUAA
rnacentral:rRNA from 1 species